UGCAGUACAUCUCUGCGAAGCAGAGCAUUCUGUUCGGCACACGCCACAGCCGCAAAGCUGAAGCUACUCUUUGCUAAGUACAAACGAUUUUAUAGAUCGCCUCUCGCGAAGGUGACUUGGAUAUAUUCUAGCAUUAAAAUUUAAUAGUAUCUGCAGCAGAUUUCUUUCACCCCCCAUCCGUUCUCCUUUCUGUACGGGCAGUGCUUAUAUGGAGAUCCGUUUACUGAAAAGUGGGAGGAGAUUGACAGACAAAAUCUCUCAUCUAUUUUUUUUUUCCUUGAGAGCGAAGCUAAAGCACAAAGGAAGGAGCUGGGUAUUUGACCAGAGAACAUACGCUUGGUGGCUGCCUUCUCUUCAAAUGUGGGAAGACUUGCCAAAAUCAGAAUUUACCCUGGCUUCCUCCAGUUUUAUCAUGCAUAAAUUGGGCAGAUUGUUUGAAUUGGAUAUGAUGAACCAUGAUGAACAUUUUUUUACUGAGCUUUUAAAUAUCAUCUUGCCAACACUUUUCUACAAUGGAUAAACAUGAGGAAUUAUAUUUAAUAUGAAGCGAAUGAGGCCUUCAACAGGAUGUGCAGAAGUGAGCACCAAGCACUGGUAAGAUUGCAUACACAGAGCUGCAAGAGAGUCCUGGUACUUAUCCAUACAAGACCUCCAGAGAAGACAGUAGGUGUGCAUCCACCAUUCUUUAUAUUAUUUAGUGCAGGCAUUUCACACUGUAGGUUCCCAAGGGCAACUUUGAUCAUGACGAGCCUCAUGUUAUGAGCCAGUAUCCUCAUAGCUUACCUGGGAUCCCUUAAGAUGUUAUAAAUAUGUAAUUUUACUGCAGUUUUGAUAUGUAGACAUCCUUAAAGGUUAAUGAUGAGAAAAGACUAAACCCUAGUAUUAUCACAAUAUAAGCAAGGCAGAAGUUAAUUAGCCUUUAUAGUUAAGGCGUUUUCUAGUUCUAAGGAAUUGCCUGUAAAAACAACAAGCACCCAGAAAAUGUAAAAUGAAAUAGAGGUUUUUCAGAAAGAAAAACACAUGGAGCUGUGCAAUUAUAUUAAAAACAAAGAAACCUACUCAAAGUAUAUGACAUUCUAUGUCACCCAGAUUAAAUGACAAGCCUAAUAACAUUAUACCAAUUAUAAACUGCAUUAACCAUAUGCACUUAUAAAUUAACAAAUAAUAUGUAUAUAUUUACAAAUAUAUCAUAAUGCCACAUAUGGGAUUAUCUGCCUAGUCGGCAGAAGAUCAUACUGAAACCAUUUCAGGACACUGCCUUCAAUAACUAGAAGCAGCUGCAUGCAUUUCGUUUUUUGCUGCGUUGGUUGCUUUGUGUUUUUUCUCUUCCAGCUUCUAUUAUGUGACCUGAAUCAGGUAUAUAAUUCAGAGUGUUAUAGCUGCACUGGAAAAGAUGAUGUUCUUUGGAAUCACUAGCUGCAAGGCAUACAGGAUACAAUGUCACUGACACAUGAUUGAGGAAGAUGUAGCUUCGUUUUAUCAGUUUGCCUGGUCUGAGUAAACUCGGGGUGAAAGAGAAGAUAAAAGAUUCAGUUCUGUUUCCAGACUUUGCAAACCUGUCAUCUUCCAGCUGUCACAACUGUACUCUGGGAAUAGGUUUCCCUGGACUGCCAUCUCAAAUGAAUGAAUAUCUGCAUGAAAAGCCAUCCGAUUCUGUUACUUUGUUUCUACACUGCCUCCCCACUAUUUGCUUUCAAGAGAUGUAUUUUAUUUUCUAAAACCUCUACAGAUACAUGUUUUUAAAUGGCCUUUCAAACUACUAAUAUCUAUUCCAGGUCAACACAAGAAAAAUUAAAAGAGUGUAAGAAUACAGUCAAGAUCUGCUUUAGAAAAUACAUAGCAAAUAUGCCAAACUAGUAAAACAAAUACAACCAUAGAAUCAGACAUAGGUAUCACAGUUCUGCCAGAAAUUACUAUGGUUUCUAGUGUUGUUUAGUUUGUGUUUUGUUAUAGAAAAACAUUUCUGGGCAAAUGCAGUAGGUAAGAAUUCAUUUUGUCAAAUGACUAACAGACAUAACAUGUUUUAUAUUGGCAGUUUAUUUGGUAGGUCUAUGUAAAUCCACUACCAAUCUGUUUGUUUGCUUGCGAGUCCAAAUUAGAAUCACAGAAGUUAUGCUUUGCUUAAAAAAUAUAGUAGCCACAAAUAUAGCAACACAAUUCCAAUAAUUUGUCAUCAAAUAGGAUUCUGCACUCAAGUACUAUAUAUCACUUGUCUAAAGAAUUAAGAUACAAAAAUGGUGUAUAUUUUUAUAAGUUUGGAACUUAUUGCGUUUAGAUGUUGAAUAUGUGAAUCUUGAAUGUGGAGAGAACACGAUCAGUUAAUAUGUUAAGACAGAAUAGAGUGAACCCUGAUUUAUGUACCCACAUUUUAAUGGAGAAUGAGCUUUUCGAGGAUGUUGUGUUAAUUGUGCAAAUGUUCUAUAUCAGUAUCCUUAAGCAUGCAUCACUUGUCGGUGUAAAAACGCUUAUUAACUUUU